rnacentral:rRNA from 1 species
GAUGAACGCUAGCGGCAGGCCUAAUACAUGCAAGUCGGACGGGAUUUGGGAGCUUGCUCCUAAUGAGAGUGGCGCACGGGUGCGUAACACGUAUGUAACCUACCUUAAUCAGGGGGAUAGCCUCUCGAAAGAGAGAUUAACACCGCAUAAUAUAUUUUUAUGGCAUCGUAGAAAUUUCAGAUAUUUAUAGGAUUAAGAUGGGCAUGCGGAACAUUAGCUAGUUGGUAAGGUAACGGCUUACCAAGGCUACGAUGUUUAGGGGAUCUGAGAGGAUGACCCCCCACACUGGUACUGAGACACGGACCAGACUCCUACGGGAGGCAGCAGUAAGGAAUAUUGGUCAAUGGGCGCAAGCCUGAGCCAGCCAUGCCGCGUGCAGGAAGACGGCCCUAUGGGUUGUAAACUGCUUUUGUACCGGAAUAAACCCUUUUACGUGUAAGAGGCUGAAUGUACGGUAAGAAUAAGGAUCGGCUAACUCCGUGCCAGCCGCCGCGGUAA